ensembl:lncRNA
GGGAAUCUUUAAAGGUCAUCUAGUCCAACUCUGCAAUGCACGGGGACACCUACAGCUAGAUCAGGUUGCUCAGAGCUCUGUCCAGCCUGACACUGAAUGUCUCCAGGGAUGGGACAUCUACUUUUAGAUCCUGACCUGCUUUUGUCAGGUGUUAACUUCUUGUUGGAAAAAGAAACAUCACAAGCUUCUGGGAAUAAAUGUUUAUAUUCAGUAGUGUUGUAUGGUACAUGCAUCUGAAUGACAUUUGCCCAGAAAUCUCUAUCCUUCUUUCCAUUUGAAAGUCACCAAUUUUCAAAUUAACCACCUUGGAUGCAAAUAGUGAUUUGUUGAAUCAUUGCUUCCUCCUGAUCUCCUUGCUGUCCUGGAGAAGGACAGAGGCAUCUGCAACCAUUCAGUUUCUCCAACAGCCUCUUCUUAGAAUCAUAGAAUCGCUAAGGUUGGAAAAGACCCACAGGAUCAUCCAGUCCAACCAUUCACCCUUCACCAAUGGUUCUCACUAAACCAUGUCCCUCAACACAACAUCCAAACACUCUUUGAACACCUCCAGGCUCAGUGACUCCACCACCUCUCUGGGCAGCCCAUUCCAGUGCCUGACCACCCUUUCAGAGAAGCAGUAUUUCCUAACAUCCAGCCUAAAUCUUCCCUGGUGCAGCUUGAAGCCAUUCCCUCUAGUCCUAUCACUAGUCACACGAGAGAAGAGGCCAACCCCCAGCUCACAACAACCUCCCUUCAGGUAGUUAUAGAGAGCAAUAAGGUCUCCCUUGAGCCUCCUCUUCUCCAGACUGAACAAUCCCAGCUCCUUCAGCCGCUCAUUACAUAACAUUACAGAAGGAAGAAAACAAUUCUGUAGAUAAAUUUCAAACCUUUUUUGGCCUUUCAGAAAGUGCAGAUGAAGUUUAAGCACAGCCUCCACCUGCAAAACUAAUUUAACAACAUAUUUGCAUGACAUUUUGUGGAAACCUGACGGCUUGUGUUGCCCAGCACUCAAAGGAGUGCAUUUUUGAUCUCCUUAAGAGCAGUUACCUCAUUUCUGGGUAAUUAGGUAGUCGGAAGCACCAGCUGGGCCUAAACAAACAUCCUUUACUCUAACAAGGAAAGUUAUUGUCUAGUUUUUCAGGACACAGUUUUCUGUAGUAUGCAACGACUCUAAUGUCUAUUAAUUAUUUCUAAAUGGUUUAAGCAUUAUCUGCCUUUGGGUAAAUUCUUUCUCUAUAGCGUAAUCUAACCUGUGGGAGAGAAAAAACAACAGUGCUUUGCAAUUUCACCUCCCCAAACAUAACAGAUUUUUCUUUUAAUCACUAUCACCUUCACCAUCACACACCAAAUGCUUAAGGACUUGGAAAAGGUUAGCAGGAUGAUUUCCCG